rnacentral:rRNA from 1 species
CCUACGGGAGUCAGCAGUGAGGAAUAUUGGUCAAUGGACGCAAGUCUGAACCAGCCAUGCCGCGUGCAGGAAGACGGCUCUAUGAGUUGUAAACUGCUUUUGUACGAGGGUACACGCAGAUACGCGUAUCUGUCUGAAAGUAUCCUACGAAUAAGGAUCGGCUAACUCCGUGCCAGCAGCCGCGGUAAUACGGAGGAUUCAAGCGUUAUCCGGAUUUAGUGGGUUUAAAGGGUGCGUAGGCGGUCGGAUAAGUUAGAGGUGAAAUCCCGAGGCUCAACUUCGGAAUUGCCUCUGAUACUGUUCGGCUAGAGAGUAGUUGCGGUAGGCGGAAUGUAUGGUGUAGCGGUGAAAUGCUUAGAGAUCAUACAGAACACCGAUUGCGAAGGCAGCUUACCAAGCUACUUCUGACGUUGAGGCACGAAAGCGUGGGGAGCAAACAGGAUUAGAUACCCUUGUAGUC